GCCUCCCAUGUGGAAAAUAUUUUAAUGUUUAUGAGCCACCAGCUCACAUCCUAUUCUUGCACAACACUUUCUACUUUUCAAAAUGCUUUUAUAGGUUAUCUUUUUGGAUCCGACUCCCGGUACUGCAGCCAUCUGUCACUGCCUCUGUUUUUACUACUGAAGCAACAAACACACGGAAGGGGAAUUGUUAAACCUGUGGGAUCCCACGGAGCUCGACGGGGGAAGUGGACACAUCACAUGCUCCCCAGUCCCCAGGGAGUGGGGACCCAGGAAGGUGGCCCACACGGUCACGUUCAAAACCAGCAUGCCGGAGGUGUUAGGACUGCAGCCGGCUGGAAGGGAAGCCGGCGUGGGAUGCGAAAAGGGAUGGCAAUCCAGUCAGAAGCAUAGAAAAUGCUGAUGUGUCUCCUUCCCAUACCCAACGUGACUUAAAGAGGAAAAUACUGGAGUACAUAGUUACAGCCCUAUUACAACUUUUACUUUGUAUGUCAAUUAGCAUGAAAUGGAACUCACUAAAAAAAUGUAUUGUCUUCAUAUUUCAGUGUAUUCUCCUUCCUGGUGUUCUAUUUCAGAAAAGUGAUAAACUCUGGUUCCCAUCUCCUAGUCAAACAUAAGCAAUGCAAAAGCAGUCACUUUCUUCUAAAGCAUCCACACUAAUGAUCAAGCCAUUUUUCAGUCUUGACUUUUAGUCACAUUUUCUUCAUUAUGAUAAUUUAUCAAGUAAUCUGUGAAAACUAGUAUCAUAGCUCUUGCAUUCUGCUAACUAGAUGUGUGAGCUGUAUGUACACUUUCCC
rnacentral:lncRNA from 1 species